rnacentral:rRNA from 1 species
AGAGUUAAAUAGUACGUGAAAUUGUUGAAAGGGAAACGAUUGAAGUCAGUCGUACCAUCGGAAAAUCAGCUUUUUGGUGUGGAUUUUAUGGGCGUACAGGAGCUUUACGGCCCUGUUGUUUGUAAAAUCUAUGCUUUUGGGUGCAUUUUUUCGCGUGGUAGGUUAACAUCAGUUUCGAUUAUUAUAAAAUGAUCGGAGGAAUGUAGCUUCAUUUUUUGAAGUGUUAUAGCCUUUGGUAGAUGUGGUGAUUGGGACUGAGGAUUGCAACGAAUACCCUUUGGGCUAUCCGUCUGAUCUCUGAACGUCGCCCGGGUACCGAAAGCUUGCUUACGGUUAUUCAGGUUUGACGGUCAAAAGGUUAGAACGUGAUUAAAUUCGUUAAGGAUGUUGACAUAAUGGCUUUAAACGACC